AAUGUGAAAAAAACCAGAAGAGCACUUACACAAAUCGGCACACAAAAUGCCUCGUUAGGCUAAUAGCAGAUAUGCCUAACGUCGAUAUAUCAGCCAAGGCACAUACACGCACAACGUUAUGCGAGACAAUGCUGCUAGGAAAGCCCUGUAAACUGAUGUGACGCUCUCCGUAGGAUGGAACAACUUCUGCUGCUGGAGUUACACAAACAACUCUACUUAAUAUGGCGAACAAUCCUCUACUCUGGUACACAGCCAUCCUUGACGGACAGCGUACAGCUUUUGACGGGCUUUCCUAGGUUUUUAUAGCGGUGACAUACUAGAGGUUAUUACACGCAAUUAUUCACGCACUACACAUUCACAAUUUCUCGUUAAAUAACUCAAGACUAAUGGCGAGUCCGUUGGUAUGGCGAACACACAUUUUAAUGUUUAAUACAAUUCUAGCAUGUUAAUAAAUAUAAUUAAAGAAAUGACAA